GNNNNNNCNUAUCGGAUUACUGGGCGUAAGGGCGCGUAGGCGGUCUGUUAAGCCAGAUGUGAAAGCCCCGGGCUCAACCUGGGAACAGCAUUUGGAACUGGCGGACUUGAGUGCAGGAGAGGAAGGUAGAAUUCCCGGUGUAGCGGUGAAAUGCGUAGAGAUCGGGAGGAAUACCAGUGGCGAAGGCGGCCUUCUGGACUGACACUGACGCUGAGGCGCGAAAGCGUGGGUAGCAAACAGGAUUAGAUACCCUGGUAGUCCACGCCGUAAACGAUGUCAACUAGCCGUUGGAUCCCUUGAGGAUUUAGUGGCGCAGCUAACGCACUAAGUUGACCGCCUGGGGAGUACGGCCGCAAGGCUAAAACUCAAAUGAAUUGACGGGGGCCCGCACAAGCGGUGGAGCAUGUGGUUUAAUUCGAUGCAACGCGAAGAACCUUACCUACCCUUGACAUCCAGAGGACCUUCCAGAGAUGGAGGGGUGCCUUCGGGAACUCUGAGACAGGUGCUGCAUGGCUGUCGUCAGCUCGUGUUGUGAAAUGUUGGGUUAAGUCCCGUAACGAGCGCAACCCCUAUCCUUAUUUGCCAGCGAUUCGGUCGGGAACUCUAAGGAGACUGCCGGUGACAAACCGGAGGAAGGUGGGGGACGACGUCAAGUCAUCAUGGCCCUUACGGGUAGGGCUACACACGUGCUACAAUGGCGAGUACAGAGGGUUGCGAAGCGGCGACGUGAAGCCAAUCCCAGAAAGCUCGCCUCAGUCCGGAUUGGAGUCUGCAACUCGACUCCAUGAAGUCGGAAUCGCUAGUAAUCGCGAAUCAGAAUGUCGCGGUGAAUACGUUCCCGGGCCUUGUACACACCGCCCGUCACACCAUGGGAGUGGAUUGCACCAGAAGUGGCUAGUUUAACCUUCGGGAGACGUCACCACGGUGUGUCAUGAUGGGUGUNGGNNNA
rnacentral:rRNA from 1 species